rnacentral:rRNA from 1 species
AUUGCACGCUGGCGGCAGGCCUAACACAUGCAAGUCGAGCGGAGCGGCGGACGGGUGAGUAAUGCCUAGGAAUCUGCCUGGUAGUGAGGGAUAACGUCCGGAAACUGGAGCUAAUACCGCCUACUACCAGCUGAGCCGAGGUCGGCUUAGCUAGUUGGUUGGGUAAAGGCCUACCAAGGCGACGAUCCGUAACAGGUUUGAGAGGCUUAUCAGUCACACUGGAACGGGGACACGGUCCAGACUCCUACGGGAGGCAGCAGUGGGGAAUAUUGGACAAUGGGCGAAAGCUUGAUGCAGCCAUGCCGCGUGUGUGAAGAAGGUCUUCGGAUUGUAAAGCACUUUAAGUUGGGAGGCGUUACCAACAGAAUAAGCACCGGCUAACUUCGUGCCAGCAGCCGCGGUAAUAC